rnacentral:rRNA from 1 species
UUCUGGUUGAUCCUGCCGGACCUGACUGCUAUCGGAUUGAUACUAAGCCAUGCGAGUCAUUGUAGCAAUACAAGGCAGACGGCUCAGUAACGCGUAGUCAAUCUACCCUAUGGACGGGAAUAACCUCGGGAAACUGAGAAUAAUGCCCGAUAGAACAUUAUACCUGGAACGGUUUAUGUUUCAAAUGAUUUAUCGCCGUAGGAUGGGACUGCGGCCUAUCAGUUUGUUGGUGAGGUAAUGGCCCACCAAGACUAUUACAGGUACGGGCUCUGAGAGGAGUAGCCCGGAGAUGGGUACUGAGAUACGGACCCAGGCCCUAUGGGGCGCAGCAGGCGAGAAAACUUUGCAAUGUGCGAAAGCACGACAAGGUUAAUCUGAGUGGUUUCUGCUAAAGAAACCUUUUGCUAGUCCUAGAAACACUAGUGAAUAAGGGGUGGGCAAGUUCUGGUGUCAGCCGCCGCGGUAAAACCAGCACCUCAAGUGGUCAGGAUGAUUAUUGGGCCUAAAGCAUCCGUAGCUCGUUUUGUAAGUUUUCGGUUAAAUCCAUACGCUUAACGUAUGGGCUGCCGGGAAUACUGCAUAACUAGGAAGUGGGAGAGGUAGACGGUACUCGGUAGGAAGGGGUAAAAUCCUUUGAUCUAUUGAUGACCACCUGUGGCGAAGGCGGUCUACCAGAACACGUUCGACGGUGAGGGAUGAAAGCUGGGGGAGCAAACCGGAUUAGAUACCCGGGUAGUCCCAGCUGUAAACUAUGCAAACUCAGUGAUGCAUUGGCUUGUGGCCAAUGCAGUGCUGCAGGGAAGCCGUUAAGUUUGCCGCCUGGGAAGUACGUACGCAAGUAUGAAACUUAAAGGAAUUGGCGGG